rnacentral:lncRNA from 10 species
GGAUAAGAACCCCUUCCCCUCCCUUGUCCAAGUGUGUGCUCACCAUUGCUCCAUCUGUAAGGGUGUACCCUUCUGUAGAAGUACCUUGCCUUGCUGAGAAUUAAAAAGAAAAUUUUAUAUUCGAGUACUAGUUCUUUUGCAGCACCGAAACUUUAUUUAUAACAAUUUGGGGCCUCACCGGUGAUUACAUUAUCCUCCGGGGGCGGUCUCUGGUUCUCUCUUCUGAGGAGACAUGCCCCGCCCCCUUGUGGCGGCCUCGGGGGUGAGAACUCAAGACCCACUCAGUGCGAGGAAUAACCGCAGCUCUCAGCAACGCGCAGGGGAGGGGCUGGGGGGAGGGACUGGCCAGCAACCUAGCUUAAAGGAUCCUCAUAGACUGCAGCGACGAUUCUGUGCACAGACUAAGGAAGGAGAAGCUGCAGGAACCGUUUCCUGAGUUGCAAGUUUAGGCUCUUGGCUGUAAACAGUUCUUCUUUCCUAAUGAAAACAAGCUUAUGUUACUAUAGAAGAAUGAGAGAUCACCUGGGCAAAUAUAAGACAUUUUAGAUGAUCCAUAAUAGAAUUACUAACCUCCAGUCUGUCUGCCAGCUCCACAAAGACACAAGAGCAAACCCAGAAAUUCUGAGAACCUUCCUUGAAAUCAUUGAACAGCAAAUGAACAAGCUGUUGCCAACCUGGGGUAGAAGACAGCAGAUGGCUUUGUCAAACUUGUAUUUGUCCCUGGGGUAAAGGGCUUCAAUGCUGAGCAUCGAGCAUAAGGAGUUGGAGAAAGAGAUGUGGGUGAUUUACCUCUGCCAUGUAAGUCCUCCAUUAUUUGUCUUGUCUUAGUCCUAUUUCUUCCUUGUACCCAUCAAAGCAUUGGCAUUUCUUAGUCUGCAUCUUCUUGGGGGUUCUGCUGAAUAAGUCCGCUUUUCAUUAGCUGCAACUUUCUUUUCAAGUGUUCUAGGUUUUGUCUUUCUGUUCUUGGAUUAAUGACUCACGCAUUCAUCUCUUUUUGUCUGUCAGAAAUGUGUUUAAACCUGUCUUUAAUUGAUGCCCCCACCCUGCUCUCAGCUGUCAACUUAUUUAUUUACCUUUUUUACCUUUAUUUUACUUGCAUGUUGGGACCUGAAAAAAGUGGAGGUGGGUACGUACCAAUGCUUUAUCUACUAUCUUGCCCUGACGAAUCCACCUCUCACAUGAAACAGUGAGUUACUGAAAGGCAGCAAUUGUACCUUUUUGUCUUUGUAUUUCUAGUGCUUAUCUUGGGGCCU